AUGUGACAGGCAUCACGCAUAUUAAGCAGUAUGAGUCGCGGCGGAACGUAACGAACGUUGGUUGUGUUUUCCCCAGCUGCUGUCCUUUGUGCUUUUCUUGCCUCUUAUUCAACGACCUGGCUAUUCCUUUUGUGGCUUAUUCUGGUUAUCUGACACUCCUGGCUAUUCUACAUUGAUUUUGGCUGUUUCUUUAACCGGAUUUAAAUUUCAUUGACGUACUACUUCAUGUAUGGAACAAAGUAAAUGGACCCGCAGAGAAUUCAACAUGUCCCCUCCACGCAUAUGGAGGUAGAACUCUCUGGUACAUCUCUCUUAAACGUCACUCCAUCCACUACGGAAGAAACCACGCAAACUAAUACAGCUUGUCGUCAGCUUGUCGUCAUGCUAUAUCAAUAUUCUAAUUGGUGAAGAAGACCUUGUGCCUCCAUCGAAUCAGCAGAGACCUGGUCACGUGAUCAGUUUGCAACUCUCUCCCUUUGAGGCUCUCUAGCUGGAAGUUGGAAUCUCCUUACAGUGUCUGUUACGUAGCUGGAGAAAAGAGUCAAGUUGCAGAUGACACAAAUGCGUGUGUCGAGAAACUGACGGAGCCUUAUAACCUUUCUGAAAGACCUCAUUGGAACCACCGUACUCAGAAAUUGUAUUUUGUCCACCUAUAUAAGUAUAUACGUAGACUACACCCUGCAACAGGUGUUAAGCUGUUCGUAUAUCCCACAGCGCAAUGAUAGACGACUGUGCGGAAUAUGUAUGGAAAUGGUUUGCACAAGCUGUACGGAUUUCAAGGCAAAAAAUUGAAGAAACGGUGGCUCAUGAUUAACAAUGAUAUUAUCCUUUAAUAUAGUAUUUUUAUUA